GCUGUGAGCUCGAUGAGUAGGGCGGGACACGUGGUAUCCUGUCUGAAUAUGGGGGGACCAUCCUCCAAGGCUAAAUACUCCUGACUGACCGAUAGUGAACCAGUACCGUGAGGGAAAGGCGAAAAGAACCCCGGCGAGGGGAGUGAAAAAGAACCUGAAACCGUGUACGUACAAGCAGUGGGAGCCUCUUUAUGGGGUGACUGCGUACCUUUUGUAUAAUGGGUCAGCGACUUAUAUUCUGUAGCAAGGUUAACCGAAUAGGGGAGCCGAAGGGAAACCGAGUCUUAACUGGGCGUUAAGUUGCAGGGUAUAGACCCGAAACCCGGUGAUCUAGCCAUGGGCAGGUUGAAGGUUGGGUAACACUAACUGGAGGACCGAACCGACUAAUGUUGAAAAAUUAGCGGAUGACUUGUGGCUGGGGGUGAAAGGCCAAUCAAACCGGGAGAUAGCUGGUUCUCCCCGAAAGCUAUUUAGGUAGCGCCUCGUGAAUUCAUCUCCGGGGGUAGAGCACUGUUUCGGCAAGGGGGUCAUCCCGACUUACCAACCCGAUGCAAACUGCGAAUACCGGAGAAUGUUAUCACGGGAGACACACGGCGGGUGCUAACGUCCGUCGUGAAGAGGGAAACAACCCAGACCGCCAGCUAAGGUCCCAAAGUCAUGGUUAAGUGGGAAACGAUGUGGGAAGGCCCAGACAGCCAGGAUGUUGGCUUAGAAGCAGCCAUCAUUUAAAGAAAGCGUAAUAGCUCACUGGUCGAGUCGGCCUGCGCGGAAGAUGUAACGGGGCUAAACCAUGCACCGAAGCUGCGGCAGCGACGCUUAUGCGUUGUUGGGUAGGGGAGCGUUCUGUAAGCCUGCGAAGGUGUACUGUGAGGUAUGCUGGAGGUAUCAGAAGUGCGAAUGCUGACAUAAGUAACGAUAAAGCGGGUGAAAAGCCCGCUCGCCGGAAGACCAAGGGUUCCUGUCCAACGUUAAUCGGGGCAGGGUGAGUCGACCCCUAAGGCGAGGCCGAAAGGCGUAGUCGAUGGGAAACAGGUUAAUAUUCCUGUACUUGGUGUUACUGCGAAGGGGGGACGGAGAAGGCUAUGUUGGCCGGGCGACGGUUGUCCCGGUUUAAGCGUGUAGGCUGGUUUUCCAGGCAAAUCCGGAAAAUCAAGGCUGAGGCGUGAUGACGAGGCACUACGGUGCUGAAGCAACAAAUGCCCUGCUUCCAGGAAAAGCCUCUAAGCAUCAGGUAACAUCAAAUCGUACCCCAAACCGACACAGGUGGUCAGGUAGAGAAUACCAAGGCGCUUGAGAGAACUCGGGUGAAGGAACUAGGCAAAAUGGUGCCGUAACUUCGGGAGAAGGCACGCUGAUAUGUAGGUGAAGUCCCUUGCGGAUGGAGCUGAAAUCAGUCGAAGAUACCAGCUGGCUGCAACUGUUUAUUAAAAACACAGCACUGUGCAAACACGAAAGUGGACGUAUACGGUGUGACGCCUGCCCGGUGCCGGAAGGUUAAUUGAUGGGGUUAGCGGUAACGCGAAGCUCUUGAUCGAAGCCCCGGUAAACGGCGGCCGUAACUAUAACGGUCCUAAGGUAGCGAAAUUCCUUGUCGGGUAAGUUCCGACCUGCACGAAUGGCGUAAUGAUGGCCAGGCUGUCUCCACCCGAGACUCAGUGAAAUUGAACUCGCUGUGAAGAUGCAGUGUACCCGCGGCAAGACGGAAAGACCCCGUGAACCUUUACUAUAGCUUGACACUGAACAUUGAGCCUUGAUGUGUAGGAUAGGUGGGAGGCUUUGAAGUGUGGACGCCAGUCUGCAUGGAGCCGACCUUGAAAUACCACCCUUUAAUGUUUGAUGUUCUAACGUUGGCCCCUAAUCGGGGUUGCGGACAGUGUCUGGUGGGUAGUUUGACUGGGGCGGUCUCCUCCUAAAGAGUAACGGAGGAGCACGAAGGUUGGCUAAUCCUGGUCGGACAUCAGGAGGUUAGUGCAAUGGCAUAAGCCAGCUUGACUGCGAGCGUGACGGCGCGAGCAGGUGCGAAAGCAGGUCAUAGUGAUCCGGUGGUUCUGAAUGGAAGGGCCAUCGCUCAACGGAUAAAAGGUACUCCGGGGAUAACAGGCUGAUACCGCCCAAGAGUUCAUAUCGACGGCGGUGUUUGGCACCUCGAUGUCGGCUCAUCACAUCCUGGGGCUGAAGUAGGUCCCAAGGGUAUGGCUGUUCGCCAUUUAAAGUGGUACGCGAGCUGGGUUUAGAACGUCGUGAGACAGUUCGGUCCCUAUCUGCCGUGGGCGCUGGAGAACUGAGGGGGGCUGCUCCUAGUACGAGAGGACCGGAGUGGACGCAUCACUGGUGUUCGGGUUGUCAUGCCAAUGGCACUGCCCGGUAGCUAAAUGCGGAAGAGAUAAGUGCUGAAAGCAUCUAAGCACGAAACUUGCCCCGAGAUGAGUUCUCCCUGACUCCCUGAGAGUCCUGAAGGAACGUUGAAGACGACGACGUUGAUAGGCCGGGUGUGUAAGCGCAGCGAUGCGUUGAGCUAACCGGUACUAAUGAACCGUGAGGCUUAACCUUACAACGCCGAAG
rnacentral:rRNA from 1 species